GUCGGCAAUCAAUACUUUUUUUUUAAUAUUUGAAAUUAUAGAAUUUGGCAAAGUAUGGAAAACUUUUACACAGACCAAUACCUACAUCACAGAUUACCAGCAGGUCGAAAUCCGAUUUUGAAUAAUACAAUUAUUUUUUUUACUAGAUGUGAUUUUUUUAAGUAACUGCUAUAUGUGCAUGUUUACAUAGUUCAGUGUUUUCUCAAGCGAACAACUAUGGACCGUCAGGAAUGCAUUUCAUGCAUUUUUUAUACUCAACAAUAUUUUUGGUUCCGCG
rnacentral:lncRNA from 1 species